rnacentral:rRNA from 1 species
GACGAACGCUGGCGGCGUGCUUAACACAUGCAAGUCGAACGGAAAGGCCCUGCUCUUGUGGGGUGCUCGAGUGGCGAACGGGUGAGUAACACGUGAGUAACCUGCCCUUGACUUUGGGAUAACUUCAGGAAACUGGGGCUAAUACCGGAUAGGAGCUCCUGCUGCAUGGUGGGGGUUGGAAAGUUUCGGCGGUUGGGGAUGGACUCGCGGCUUAUCAGCUUGUUGGUGGGGUAGUGGCUUACCAAGGCUUUGACGGGUAGCCGGCCUGAGAGGGGAAACGGCCACAUUGGGACUAAGAUACGGCCCAGACUCCUACGGGAGGCAGCAGUGGGGAGUAUUGCAGAAUGGGCGGAAGCCUGAUGCAGCAACGCCGCGUGCGGGAUGACGGCCUUCGGGUUGUAAACCGCUUUCGCCUGUGACGAAGCGUGAGUGACGGUAAUGAGUAAAGAAGCACCGGCUAACUACGUG